AUUGGCCGAGCGCUUCCCCUGAGCGAACCUUUAGAACUCCGAGACACAAUAUUCUGUUACAUUGUAGCAAAAUGGCGACUGUCAUUCACAACCCCCUGAAAGCACUUGGGGACCAGUUCUACAAAGAAGCCAUUGAACACUGCCGCAGCUACAAUUCCCGGCUAUGUGCUGAACGCAGCGUCCGUCUUCCUUUCCUGGACUCGCAGACAGGGGUAGCUCAGAAUAACUGUUACAUCUGGAUGGAAAAGAGGCACCGGGGACCAGGAUUAGCACCAGGUCAGCUCUACACAUAUCCUGCUCGUUGUUGGCGCAAAAAGAGACGUUUGCAUCCUCCUGAAGACUCCAGGCUGAAGUUACUGGAGAUUAAACCUGAAGUUGACCUGCCUCUGAAGAAGGAUGGCUUCACAUCAGAGGGGACCACACUGGAAGCACUGCUGCGUGGAGAAGGGCUUGAAAAGAAGGUAGAUACUAAAGAGGAGGACACUCUACAAGAAAUCCAGAGGGUUUUGGAAAAUGAUGAAAAUGCAGAUGAAGUGAAUGAGGAGGAAGAGAUGGAGGAAGAUAUUCCGAAGCGAAAGAACAGACCCAGAGGACGGGCUCGGGGUUCUGGAGGUGGCAGGCGAAGGAAUGAUGUUUCUUCUAUGGACGACCACGAUAAACCUUACGUUUGUGACAUCUGUGGAAAGCGCUACAAGAACAGGCCAGGAUUGAGCUACCAUUAUGCUCACACCCACCUUGCUAGUGAGGAGGGGGAUGAUGCUCAAGAGCAGGAGACACGCUCCCCACCUGUCCACAGAAAUGAAAAUCACAAACCCCAGAAAGGACCAGAUGGGGCCAUCAUUUCCAAUAACUACUGUGAUUUCUGCCUUGGAGGAUCUAACAUGAAUAAAAAAAGUGGACGACCAGAGGAACUUGUCUCAUGUUCAGACUGUGGGCGAUCUGCUCAUUUGGGAAGAGAAAGCAGGAAGGAAGAGGGAGCGGCGGCAGCAGCAGCAGCAGCAGCAGCACACACUACGGAGGACUUGUUCGGUUCCACAUCCGAAAGCGACACCUCAACUUUUCACGGCUUUGAAGAGGAUGAUUCAGAAGAGCCUCUCUCAAACCAGAGCAGCAGCUCCCCGUCCACAAAGAAAAAGGGCAGCUGCUAAACUAACUAAUCACACACAAACUCUAUGAGCUACUUCCUGCCCUUUUUGCUACGUUUAUUGUGGCUGUUGCAUUCCCCCCCACCCCACCCCACCCCCGUCCCCAGUUAGACCCAUUUUCACUUUUGGAUGUGUACACUGAAAGCACAACAGUACAAUUUUUUUUAAUAGAAAACUUACCUUCUCUUUUUAUUAAAAAAAAGAGUUUAGGUUAUUUUAUAUUCAUGAUCAUUCAUGGCCCCUUCCUUUCUUUACAACCACUGAAAUGUAGACGUCUUUAACAAAUAAGUAGUAGAAAGCUAAUUUUCUGGACUUUUAAUAUAUAUUAGCCAGAUACAAAAGCUAAAAGUACAGAAGGGUUGGACACCAGGAAUCCGCCUCAUAGAGUGUUUAUAUAUUUAUUUAUAUAUUCUAUAUAUUAUUAGAAAAAAGAGACCUUUUGAGAUUAAAAGAGAGAGAGAGAAAAGCAAUGAAGUCUACUUGAUAAUCUAACUAUACAGAAAGAGAAACCGCUGUGGUAUGGAUAGUUCCAGAUGGAAAAGAAACUCAAUCCCUUGCCAGUGUGACUUUUGCACUGUGAAAAGUUUGCAUUUACUGUAGCACACUGGAUUUUGUGACUUCCCCCUUCAUAUUCCUGCUGUCCUCACCUUUAACAGUUUGAAAAAUAAAAAGGCAAGGAAGAUCAACAAAGAACAUAAAACUGAGGAAUUUCUUGCCUCCUUAUUUUGGACACAUUUGUCGUCUGUAAAGAAUGCUUCAUCUCUCCCCACCUUGGCAUCUUUUUCUAGCCACUGCUUUGUGUUUUACGUUUCGCUCCUUUACCUUCUACGUUGUGGAAAGACAUUUCCAAGCACAGGGAUGGAAUACAACCAUCAAGUCACAGACUCUGCAAAAAUGAAACAAAGGAUGUGAACCUUGAAAGAAAUGAAAAGGAAAAAAAUACCUCACGUUUCUUUUACUUUUUGAAAAACAAAAAAACAAAAACCCAUUUAGUCUUAUUUUUGAUAGCUCCUGUUGAAAUAAACCAAAGCAAUACUCACUAAUCUUCAAAGGGCAGUAGAGAAGACAGAAUCUCUCUCAUUCCAGCACCAUGGAGCUGAGCAGCAGGAUUAAAAGAUAACGGUCCUGCGCUCACUUAGAUUCUGAAUCCAUCAUCCUUCAAGAAAACUGUUGGAAGAAGCCAACCAAGAAUAGCCAGGAUGUUCUGAUCUUCCUCUCAUUGCCUGAUCCUUUCAUGCCUGUGUCUCAUCCCACACAGGAGCCUGGACUGUGGAACGCCUGCUGGCACUUGCUCAGAGAAGUCUUGGGGAUUCCCUAAGCUUGUGCAAUACAAAGAUACCCUUUCCAUUUUAUUUUAUUUUUUAAAAAAUCCCUUUCUUUUAAGUGUUGUAUGAGUUUGUGUGUGCGUAUAUAUAUAUAUAUAAAAGCCCAGGUCAAACUGGAACUGAUUUACAGUAGAAGUGACUGAAAACAACAAACAAAUGAGAGAGAAAAAACCUUGACAAAAAAUAGAACAAGUUAUUUUAUUUAUUUGAAUAUUUAAGAGAGAAAAGUAGUGCUGAUGUUGCACAGUAUUUUUGUUUAAAAAGCAUUUUACUUCAAAAUUUAAAAGCAAUUCUUGUGAAGAGGGGAUUUUUCCCUAGAGCGCUUAAAUGUAAGAUAAAGACUGACUAUUUGCUUUCAGGUUAAUUUUUUUUUUAAGUUAUGAAAAUAAAGAUAAACUCUGCUUUCUCUUACUUUAAAGAUGCCAUUCAUACACACGCUGGGUGUUUUUUUUUUUCUUUCCCCAAACUGGAUGUGGUAAGUUUAAAGUUGUUCUGGCUUAUUUUCCUGAAUGUCUGCUAAUGUUUCCUGCUUGGUUGUAUUGUAUUAGAGCAAAAGUCAAAACUUUCAACAAAAUAUUUUGAAAAUGAAAUGCUGGAUCUUGGACAGUUGUUGUAACAAGGACUAUAAGCGCAGUCUCCCCAGCACUAUCAUCUUACAGGAACUUUGGGUGUUACCAGUUCUCAGCAAUAAUGCCACUUAAACUAGGUGCUUAUAAAAUAGAUUUUGUUGUCUGAAAAGAAGUUGUUUUCCUGCGUUGAUUAGUCCACUCAAGAGCUAUCAGCAGCUAACAGCUGCUUGCUAUAGUCCACAAAUAAUGUAAGCAACACAAGAAGAAGCAACCGGGACAAUACAUCUGGAGAGAAACCUUUUUCUCUACAACUGUUCUAAGAGGCAUUUGAAAUAAUAUUUGGGAAGAGGUAGAAUAUUAAAAACCAUCUUUCCAGGAAUAGCAGAGUUUAUACAGUUGGAUCUAGUCACAGGUCAUAGUUCUCUCUAUAGUAAUUUGUUAGGACCAACUUGUGACAUGCUGAUAGCUGGUGCUUAUGUGACAGCUUUUAAAGAGUGAUCCCUACCUAUUCUGGGAAGGACGUAUGAAAAUGACCCCAGGUUCCAAUUGAUCCAGAACAGUUUCUGGGGAAAUCCAAUUGGAGAAGCCAUUCUGAUAUAAGUUUUCAGUGGAUAUUUGCUUACCAGAUGAUGUCAAAAAGUUGAUUGUGUGAGCCUUCGAAUUGUACUGUGCAAUGUACUUCUAUGCACCUUUACUUGGAAGUAACACUCGCUGAGUUAAAAUGUGGCUUACUCCUUAGUAAGUGUGCACAGGAGUGCUUAGUCUGCUAUACGAUUUGGUUUUGAAUAAAGGUAAUGAUACCAUCCCCAUACAAUUUAAACCUGAAGCCUUCUCCUGAAAUUCUUAGAGCAAUCCUGCUCUAAGAGGACUGAGCAAACCCAGCCAUCAUGCAUUCUCAUUGAGCUGGCUCAGGAGUCCAGGGGAGUGAAACCACUUUGAAAUAUACAACUGUACAGCAGUGGUGCUAUGAAUUUUGCAUGCUCAGUUGUUCUUUCAGGGAUGCUGGUUGUGGGGGCAAUGCAGAAUCCGGUCCGGAAAAGCAUCAGACAUGUUCAACUCAGUAGGUCAAAUCUGCUUCCUAGUGAGGAGCUGGAGCUCCAGAACAUUGCAUAUUAAAAUCAAUGGCAGAACUCUUAUUGGGGUCAGUGACAGAAGACCCAUUGAGACAGUCACUUCAAUGAUUUCACUUAGAAAUCUGCAAACUACCUUAUGCUGCCAUUAAAAACAAAUGUUCCCAUUAGAUGCAAAAUGCACAAACUGUACUAACUUGUGUUUUGUGUUCACUUAAAAUCAACUUCCAAGGCGCCUCCUGUAUACUUCUCUGUAAAUAUUUAUUUACCCAACCUUUUUUAAAAGGAAAAAAUAUUGUGAAACUGCAAUUGCUGUACAUAGUUUUUAAAGGUCCUCAUUGUUUACAAUGCUGUCCUCCAUACUGAAAAUAAAACUUCCUUCUCUACUUA